GCCUUGCCAGCCCGCUCAGAAACUUAAAUGAAUUUGACGAGGGCCCGCACAAGCAGCGGAGCGUGUGGUUUUAAUUCGAUGAUACGCGAAGAACCUCACCCAGGUUUUGACAUGCAUGUGGUACCAAGGUGAAAGCUGAGGGACCCUUCGGGGAGCAUGCACAGGUGUUGCACGGCCGUCGUCAGCUCGUGCCGUGAGGUGUUGGGUUAAGUCCCGCAACGAGCGCAACCCCUGUCGCCAGUUGUAUUUUUCUGGCGAGACUGCCGAGAAAACCUCGGAGGAAGGAGGGGACGAUGUCAGGUCAGCGUGGCCCUUACGCCUGGGGCUACACACACGCUACAAUGGGCAGUACAACGGGUCGCGAAGCCGCGAGGUGGAGCUAAUCCCAUCAAAGCUGUCCUCAGUUCGGAUUGCAGGCUGAAACCCGCCUGCAUGAAGCCGGAGUUGCUAGUAACCGCAGGUCAGCAUUACUGCGGUGAAUACGUUCCCGGGCCUU
rnacentral:rRNA from 1 species